AGGAUGAGGCCCCCGAAGGCGCUGGCGAGGGAGGAGUAGGCGACGCGGCGGAUGGAGAGGUCGAGGCAGGAGUCCCACUUGGCGUCCAGGUCGUACCGCGGCGGGAUCCCGGAGCUGGCGGGCGGGGACGUCUUCGGCGCCGGCGACGGGACCGUGGCCGGGGCGGGGGCGGCAGGUGGCGCGGGCGCGGGCGCCGCGGCGGCGUUCUCGGACGACUCCGCCAUGGGAGGGAGG
rnacentral:lncRNA from 1 species